UACGUAGGGAGCAAGCGUUGUCCGGAAUUACUGGGCGUAAAGCGCGUGUAGGCGGCAAGGCAAGUCGGAUGUGAAAGCCCACGGCUCAACCGUGGAAGUGCACCCGAAACUGCCUAGCUAGAGUCUCGGAGAGGAAGGUGGAAUGCUUGGUGUAGAGGUGAAAUUCGUAGAUAUCAAGCGGAACACCGGUGGCGAAGGCGGCCUUCUGGACGAUGACUGACGCUGAGACGCGAAAGCGUGGGGAGCAAACAGG
rnacentral:rRNA from 1 species